UCGAUUAAUUAAUUUAAUUGAAGAAAGAUUUAUCGCUUUGAGAUGGGCUUGCGUCCUAUCAGGUAGUUGGUAAGGUAAUAGCUUACCAAGCCUAAGACGGGUAGCUGGAGUGAGAGCUUGACCAGCCAGAGGGGGACUGAGACACGGCCCCCACUCCUACGGGAGGCAGCAGCAGGGAAUCUUGCACAAUGGGCGAAAGCCUGAUGCAGCGACGCCGCGUGAGGGAUGAAGGUUUUAGGAUCGUAAACCUCUUUUCUUAGGGAAUAGUUUGGAAGGUACCUAAGGAAUAAGUCACGGCUAACUACGUGCCAGCAGCCGCGGUAAUACGUAGGUGGCAAAUGUUGUCCGGAAUCAUUGGGCGUAAAGGGUCCGUAGGUGGCAUAAAAAGUCUUAUGUGAAAUCUCUUGGCUCAACCAAGAAACGCCAUAAGAAACUUUUAUGCUAGAGAUCAUCAGAGGGAGGUAGAAUUCCAGGUGUAGUGGUGAAAUGCGUAGAUAUCUGGAGGAAUACCAAUGGCGAAAGCAGCCUCCUGGGGUGAAUCUGACAUUGAGGGACGAAAGCGUGGGUAGCAAACCGGAUUAGAUACCCGGGUAGUCCAUGCCGUAAACGAUGAAUACUGGGUCUUCGGGGAAUCGACCCCCUGUGGACCGAAGCUAACGCGUUAAGUAUUCCGCCUGGGGAGUACGGUCGCAAGACUAAAACUCAAAGGAAUUGACGGGGGCCCGCACAAGCAGCGGAGCGUGUGGUUUAAUUCGAUGGUAAACGAAGAACCUUACCUAGGUUUGACAUAUAAGUAGUACUGACCCGAAAGGUGAUGGACCCGCAAGGGAGCUUAUACAGGUGCUGCAUGGUUGUCGUCAGCUCGUGCCGUGAGGUGUUGGGUUAAGUCCCGCAACGAGCGCAACCCUCGUGGAUAGUUGUUUUCUUUAUCCAGACUGCUUUUACAAGAGGAAGGUGGGGAUGACGUCAAAUCAUCAUGGCUCUUACACCUAGGGCUACACACACGCUACAAUGGACAGUACAGACGGUUGCUAAGUCGCAAGAUGGAGCCAAUCCGAUAAAGCUGUCCCCAAUUGGGAUUGUAGGCUGAAACUCGCCUGCAUGAACCUGGAGUUGCUAGUAACCGCAGAUCAGAAUGCUGCGGUGAAUACGUUCCCGGGCCUUGUACACACC
rnacentral:rRNA from 1 species